rnacentral:sRNA from 12 species
AAUUUAAGCUGAUGCUACUAGGCUACAUUUGCGGAACUAAAACCGCAUAAGUGAAGCGGCAUAUCAUAGAAGUAAGCAGUAUCGUUGUUUACGAUUUAAUAAAAAUGUGUUUGGUAAGCUACUACCAAACAACUGAUAGACAAUGUCUGCGGUAUCAGACGAUAAAAAACGUAGUGCUAUCAGUAUUAAGUCUGCAAUAUGCUUUGGGUAAACAAAUUUAGAAAGAAUAGUUCGGUGACGAUACCACCGACUAUUUUUU